CUUAACCGUGGAAGUGCCUUCGAAACUGUUGCUCUUGAGUCCCGGAGAGGCUGUCGGAAUUCGUGGUGUAGCGGUGAAAUGCGUAGAUAUCACGAGGAACACCAGAGGCGAAAGCGGACAGCUGGACGGGUACUGACGCUCAGGCACGAAAGCGUGGGGAGCAAACAGGAUUAGAUACCCUGGUAGUCCACGCCGUAAACGAUGGAUGCUCGCCGUUGCCUCGUUAAGGGGCAGUGGCUAAGCUAACGCGUUAAGCAUCCCGCCUGGGGAGUACGAUCGCAAGGUUGAAACUCAAAGGAAUUGACGGGGGCCCGCACAAGCGGUGGAGCAUGUGGCUUAAUUCGAUGCAACGCGAAGAACCUUACCUAGGCUCGAACGCUAGGCGGCUGCUCCUGAAAGGGAGCUUCCCGCAAGGGCGC
rnacentral:rRNA from 1 species